GUGGGGAAUCUUGCGCAAUGGGCGAAAGCCUGACGCAGCAACGCCGCGUGGGGGACGAAGGCUCUCGGGUUGUAAACCCCUUUCAGUAGGAACGAUUGUGACGGUACCUACAGAAGAAGCACCGGCUAACUACGUGCCAGCAGCCGCGGUAAUACGUAGGGUGCGAGCGUUGUCCGGAUUUAUUGGGCGUAAAGAGCUCGUAGGCGGUUCAGUAAGUCGGUUGUGAAAACUCCAGGCUCAACCUGGAGCCUGCAUUCGAUACUGCUGUGACUAGAGUCUGGUAGGGGAUCACGGAAUUCCUGGUGUAGCGGUGAAAUGCGCAGAUAUCAGGAGGAACACCGGUGGCGAAGGCGGUGAUCUGGGCCAGUACUGACGCUGAGGAGCGAAAGCGUGGGGAGCAAACAGGAUUAGAAACCCGAGUAGUCC
rnacentral:rRNA from 1 species